UCUUUCUUUUGGUUCUACUUUUCUUUCAACAUCAGAAGAAAGAAAAAAAUGGCCAGGAAGACUCUCUUUCUCCCAAACAAAAACAGGAAGACUCAACAAAUCUUCAAUCUUCUUUUCUUCUUCUU
rnacentral:ribozyme from 13 species